rnacentral:rRNA from 1 species
GACGAACGUUGGCGGCGUGCUUAACACAUGCAAGUCGAACGGAAAGGCCCUGCUUUUGUGGGGUGCUCGAGUGGCGAACGGGUGAGUAACACGUGAGUAACCUGCCCUUGACUUUGGGAUAACUUCAGGAAACUGGGGCUAAUACCGGAUAGGAGCUCCUGCUGCAUGGUGGGGGUUGGAAAGUUUCGGCGGUUGGGGAUGGACUCGCGGCUUAUCAGCUUGUUGGUGGGGCAGUGGCUUACCAAGGCUUUGACGGGUAGCCGGCCUGAGAGGGUGACCGGCCACAUUGGGACUGAGAUACGGCCCAGACUCCUACGGGAGGCAGCAGUGGGGAAUAUUGCACAAUGGGCGGAAGCCUGAUGCAGCAACGCCGCGUGCGGGAUGACGGCCUUCGGGUUGUAAACCGCUUUCGCCUGUGACGAAGCGUGAGUGACGGUAAUGGGUAAAGAAGCACCGGCUAACUACGUGCCAGCAGCCGCGGUGAUACGUAGGGUGCGAGCGUUGUCCGGAUUUAUUGGGCGUAAAGGGCUCGUAGGUGGUUGAUCGCGUCGGAAGUGUAAUCUUGGGGCUUAACCCUGAGCGUGCUUUCGAUACGGGUUGACUUGAGGAAGGUAGGGGAGAAUGGAAUUCCUGGUGGAGCGGUGGAAUGCGCAGAUAUCAGGAGGAACACCAGUGGCGAAGGCGGUUCCCUGGGCCUUUCCUGACGCUGAGGAGCGAAAGCGUGGGGAGCGAACAGGCUUAGGUACCCUGGUAGUCCACGCUGUAAACGGUGGGUACUAGGUGUGGGGUCCAUUCCACGGGUUCCGUGCCGUAGCUAACGCUUUAAGUACCCCGCCUGGGGAGUACGGCCGCAAGGCUAAAACUCAAAGGAAUUGACGGGGCCCCGCACAAGCGGCGGAGCAUGCGGAUUAAUUCGAUGCAACGCGUAGAACCUUACCUGGGUUUGACAUGGGUCGGGAGUGCUCAGAGAUGGGUGUGCCUCUUUUGGGGUCGGUUCACAGGUGGUGCAUGGCUGUCGUCAGCUCGUGUCGUGAGAUGUUGGGUUAAGUCCCGCAACGAGCGCAACCCUUGUUCACUGUUGCCAGCACGUUAUGGUGGGGACUCAGUGGGGACCGCCGGGGUCAACUCGGAGGAAGGUGGGGAUGACGUCAAGUCAUCAUGCCCCUUAUGUCCAGGGCUUCACGCAUGCUACAAUGGCUGGUACAGAGAGUGGCGAGCCUGUGAGGGUGAGCGAAUCUCGGAAAGCCGGUCUCAGUUCGGAUUGGGGUCUGCAACUCGACCUCAUGAAGUCGGAGUCGCUAGUAAUCGCAGAUCAGCAACGCUGCGGUGAAUACGUUCCCGGGGCU